rnacentral:sRNA from 1 species
UAAAGUUUAAUUUUAGUCAAAAAAUGUUUGAGCUCCUCCUGUGUGCCCAAAGCAUAAUAACAAAUGAAAGUAAAUAUUUCCUUAUUAGUUGUUGAAAUUAAACAAUAUUAAUGGGAUGUUACUGGUGGUUUUAUUUAUGAUGUGCUGCAUAACCUAUAUCAGUGUAAAAAUUUUAAGUAAUUUAGAGUUAUCUUGACUUGCUUCAUGAAUAUCCUUAGAGCGAGUUCUUCAGACACCUAAGGUUGUAUUAAAUUGAUGUCAUGUUUAUUUUACUUUAGGAUAUGUUUGACAAGGAAAAAUAUUUUUAAACUAUCGUUAAAUUUAUUGUUGUUUUUUAUCUUGAAGCUGCCAGAAAAAAUUAUAAUGAACUACUACGAGAAGUAUAAGCCUCGAAUGAAUGAGCUGGAAGCUUUUAAUAUGUUGAAAGUUGUUCUGGCUCCCUGCAUAGAGACUUUGAUUCUUCUGGAUCGACUUUGUUACCUGAAAGAGCAGGAAGAUAUUGCAUGGUCUGCUCUUGUGAAGUUGUUUGAUCCCGUGAAAUCUCCCAGAUGUUAUGCUGUUAUUGCUCUGAAGAAGCAGCAGUGAUUUCCAAUGAAGCAAAUUAUUAGAUGUAUUUCUCUAUGAGACCUGUUGCUGAGAUUGCUUUUCUAAACAUAUAUGUCCUGUUAUACAAAAAUUUUUAAAUGACUGUUAUAUAUUUUAAAUAAUAAAAUAAUGGCUAACAACAGAA